UUUGCAGAAACCUUGGUUUUUAGUUUAAAUGACCAAAUAACAUCCAAUCAAAAAUAACAACCUUCUUUCAAGGCUAGAAGUAACAUCCCCCAAACUCUCCCCAGACAUGCCACCCGCCACACCUCAUCUGGUGCAGAUAAUUAGCAAUUAUGCCUCAACAACACCCAGACGCUCAGACUCAGUACAAGGCAAGUAGGGGUUACAGAGGGUGUAACACCUCAUCACUGUGUUAUAUCAUUUACAUUGUUGACCCUGUUUUUACCUCUGAGCAUGACAUUAAGCUCUCAUUAGCACAAUCCCAUUUUAGAUCAGCGUUUAGCAUAUACACUUUAGGAUUACAGAAUUUAAGAUGAGAUUUUCCUAAAAAUGAUAUAGGUAGGCAGCUCAUUCUAAUUGUUAUAUGUUCCAUACAGUGUGUAUGAUUUUCUGACUUGCCCCCAAAAUUACAACUAUUCUCUAAGUAUUAACUUUAUUUCCAGCCUUAAUCAUGCAUCAUCAUUCAUGUUUUUAAACAUUCUUUUUUCAUUCUAAUAGAAAAACUGUUCCACUUGUUCCCUCACAUAAUUUCAAACCUUUAAUAACCAGGAAUUUAAAAAGUAUUUAUGAAGAACUUGUUAAAAAAAAACCUCAAAAUGAACACGAAGAGGUUGGAGACCAGAUGAUUAAAGUGGGGUCUGCAAACACAAAGAAUCCAAGAAAACCAUCAAAUUACAGGAACCAUGACAUAAACUAUAACAAUAAUGUAAAUAACUUAAUAAAAGUAUGUUACUUUAAUAAAAUGUGAAUUCUGUUGGUUAUUUUUGUCUUUUUGUCUCUUUGAAAGAUGACAGAGUUAUACAAGAAACAAAAUCAGAGUGAGACAUUGAAAUAAAGUUCACCAAUUGUUGAAUCAACCAUGGACAUCAAAACUAUGCUGUAUUCACCUGACUGGACACUGAACCAUCACAAGCAUCGGCUGCUGUAAAAGCACAUUAACAAAGAUCACAGCAGCUGACAUUAAGGGUUAACAAAGAUCACAGCAGCUGACAUUAAGGGUUUGUUGUGGGCUGCAUCAGGAGGCUGAGUCCCUGCACAGCGAGGCACAGAACCUCCAGCAGAACCUCUGGGGGCAGCUCGGGCCGGUCCCAGCCGUCACUCAACUCUUUCAGCUUCUGAUCGUUCAAACAGAUGAACUCGGCCGCCCAGCGGAGCUCCCCUCCCUCCUGCAGGGGGACGGGCAGGGACUCUGGCAGUGUGGCCCGACCGUCCUUCAGACCAUCCACCUGGAGAAGCAGAGAGGGAGCUGUUGUCUGAUCAGAUUCAAACAUGAGGAAGACUCCGCCCACAGGCUGCUGAUAGUGGGCGGAGCUGCUGCUGAUGUGCUUUUACACAUGUGGGAUUUUCUGUUUAGUUUUAGUUUAUUCUUCUUCAUUACAAAAACAUGACAGACGAUGCUUUAAGCUGUCAGAUUACACAUGUUUAGUGUGCUCAGUCUGUAGGAUAAGGUGUGAUGAGGCUGGCAGCUGUUGAGAGGAGCAUGUAGAUGAAUGCAGAUGAAUGAGUGAAUGGACCCACCAACUGGUUGAGCACUCUCAGAGUGUCUGGACUGCAGCAGGUCAGAAGUGGCGGCACUUCAUCUGGCAGAGCUGCACAAACAUGAAGAAGAAAGACAAAGUUUGAUGACGAUGUGAUGAACUGAAACACUGAAACGCUUUGCUUCAGAUGUGUCAAUAAAACUGUGAGCUGAGCUCUCACACACUCCCAAAUCACACCUGAGCAGCUUUAUCUCAGCUCCACCACCUCCAGCUCACAUACCACACCUGAUGUGGAGCAUCUACAUGUUACUGGAUGGGAUAAAUGUCUCAGAGCAGGUCAGCUGACUUACUGUCCAACGCGCUGACCAACAGGUGAACAGCAUCCUUCACAGCAGUGGAGAUGUUUGAAAUAUCGAGAAGGUCCAUGAAGGAGGAGGCAGCCUGAGACAAAGUGCCUUCAAAUGCUCCAUUACUGCAGUGAUCCAACUGAGAGAAGCAGAGGAUUAUUAGUAGUAGUAUCAGAGCAGGAUGGUGUUUAGUCAUGGAGAACAUAAAACUACAGUUAUGUCCAUAAAUGUUUGGACAGAGACAACUUUCUUCUAAUUUUGGUUCUGUACAUUACCACAAUGAAUUUUAAAUGAAAAAACUUAGAUGCAGUUGAAGUUCAGACUUUCAGCUUUAAGUCAGUGGGUUGAACAAAAAGAUGCAUAAAAAUGUGAAGAACUAAACCAUUUUUAACUCAAUCCCUCCAUUUCAGAGACUAAGUAUUUAGACAAAUUAAAUAACUGAAAAUAAAAUGUUCAUUUCUAAUACUCUAAUGCUGACAAACCUUUGCUGGCAAUGACAGCCUGAGGUCUUGAACUCAUGGACAUGCUGUGUUUCCUGCUUUUUGAUGCUCUGCCAGGCCUCUACUGCAGCGGCAUCCAAUUUCUGUUUGUCUGUGGGCCUUUCUGUCUGAAGUUUAGUCUUCAACAAGUGAAAUGCUCAGCUGGAUCAAGAUAUGGUGGCUGACCAGGCCAUUCAAGAAUAUUCCACUUGUUUGCUUGAAUAAACUCCUGGGUUGCUUUGGGUGUAGGUUUUGGUUCAUUGUCAAUCUGUAUUAUUAAAAACCGCCCAUUUAAUUUGACUGUAUUUAGCUGGAUUUGAGCAGACAGUAUGUCUCUGACCACAGAAUUAAUUCAGCUUCUUCUGUCCUGUGUCACAUCAUCAUUAAACACUAGUGUCCCAGUGCCUACGGCAGCUAUGCAUACCCAAACCAUCACACUGCCUCCAUCGUGUUUUACAGAUGUUGUGGUAUGCUUUGGAUCAUGAGCUGUUCCACGCCUUCUGCAUGCGUUUUUCUUGUUCAAAGAAUACUUUUCCAGGACUGUGUUUGUUUGGUUUUUUUGAGCCUUUCUAUUCUUGAGUCUUAUGAGUGGCUUGGACCUUGCAGUGAACCAUUUGCAUUUACUUUCAUUCAGUCUUCUCUUUCUGGUAGACGGUGUAGUUCAGUUGGUUGGAUGUUGUGAGGUUAUGACCUCACAGCCCACUGCCCAGUUUCAGUCAUUGUGCAAAUUUACUGUUUAUAAGAUUGGGGAAACCUGCAGCCAGCUGAGAGUGAAGAAGUCACUUGGAUGAGUGACAAAAUGUUUCUUCCACUGAAAACACUUUGUCCAGGUGAACAGAAUCCCCUUUUUGGGAUUUCCUUACCUGGAUGAUUGAGCAUGCAUCAAGACAUGAAAUGAAGGGGUUUCUCUUCCCCAUGGAAAUGAUUCUGUGAUCAUCCACCACUGUUGUCUUCUGUGGACCUCCAGGUCCAGGUGCUGAGUUCACGAGUGCUUUCUAUCUUUCUCAGGAUGUACCAAACUGUAGUUUUUGCCACUCCUGAUAUUGUAGCAAUUGUUUUUUUCUUCUGUUUUUUCAGCUUAAGGAUUGCUUGUUGCACCUGCAUACAGAGCCGCACCUUGUUUGUUCGCAGCAAAAUCGUCAAAAUGCAAGCACCACACCUCAAAUGAUCUCGAGGCUUUUUAUCUGCUUAACUGACAAUGACAUAACAAAGGAAUUGCCCACAUCUGCACAUCAAGUAGCCUUUGAGUCAACUGUCCAAUUACUUUUGUAAUGUGUAUACCCUCAAAUGAAAGCUGAGAGUCUACAUUUAUGUCUGUUAUAUAACUAUAAUUGUAACAUGUUUCAGUUAAUGGGUAAAAGAAAAACUUGUGCCAGUGUCCAAAUAUAUGGCCCUAACUGUACCUGCUGUCUGUAAAGCCCCAAGCCUGUUGUCAGUAUUGGUUGUUGGGCCUGUGCAUACAUGAUUGAUAACCAGCAGCAUCCAUGGUUCCGAUAGCUGAGAAAUAUCAGUAAAGAGCUUUUAGAAAUAUAAUUAAGCAGCAAUAACUUUAAGCGAUCCUUUUAAUCAGUUUCUCACGUUGAAGUGUAUGGAACGCCAGGACUGCCAUAAUGAAUUAAUUAAAUACACCAUUAAAUAAUUAAUUAAAUGUGUCAAUAAUUAAUUAAAAUUGGAAUUAA
ensembl:lncRNA